rnacentral:rRNA from 1 species
UACGAAGGGGACUAGCGUUGUUCGGAAUCACUGGGCGUAAAGCGCACGUAGGCGGCUUGUUAAGUCAGGGGUGAAAUCCUGGAGCUCAACUCCAGAACUGCCUUUGAUACUGGCGAGCUUGAGUUCGGGAGAGGUGAGUGGAACUGCGAGUGUAGAGGUGAAAUUCGUAGAUAUUCGCAAGAACACCAGUGGCGAAGGCGGCUCACUGGCCCGAUACUGACGCUGAGGUGCGAAAGCGUGGGGAGCAACAGG